rfam:Gallionella capsiferriformans ES-2, complete genome.
GGGUCUGUAGCUCAGCUGGUUAGAGCACUGUGUUGAUAACGCAGGGGUCGUUGGUUCGAGUCCAACUAGACCCA